GGUUAGGUAAGUNUCCUGUGAAAGCCCAANGCUCAACUUUGGAACUGCAUCCGAUACUGCUUGACUAGAGUGCAGGAGGGGAGAGCGGAAUUCUUGGUGUAGCGGUGAAAUGCGUUGAUAUCAAGAAGAACACCGGUGGCGAAGGCGGCUCUCUGGAAUGUUACUGACACUGAGGCACGAAAGUUGGGGGAGCAAACAGGAUUAGAUACCCUGGUAGUCCCAGCCGUAAACGGUGUCGACUUGGUGUGGGGGGAAUUGACCCCUCCCGUGCCGGAGCUAACGCGUUAAGUCGACCGCCUGGGGAGUACGACCGCAAGGUUAAAACUCAAAGAAAUUGACGGGGGCCCGCACAAGCGGAGGAGCAUGUGGCUUAAUUCGAUGCAACGCGAAGAACCUUACCCAGACUUGACAUAUACCUGCACGCUCUCUGAAAGGAGAGAAGCUUUCGAAGGUGGUAUACAGGUGCUGCAUGGCUGUCGUCAGUUCGUGCCGUGAGGUGUUUGGUUAAGUCCAGCAACGAACGCAACCCUUGUGAUUAGUUGCCACCGGUGGUGAUGAGCCACCGAGCACUCUAAUCAGACUGCCCUUGCAAGAGGGAGGAAGGUGGGGAUGACGUCAAGUCAGUAUGGCCCUUACGUCUGGGGCUGCACACGUGCUACAAUGGCCGGUACAGAANGCUGCAAUACCGCGAGG
rnacentral:rRNA from 1 species